rnacentral:rRNA from 1 species
AGAGUUUGAUCAUGGCUCAGAACGUACGCUGGCGGCACGCCUAAUACAUGCAAGUCGAACGAAGUAGCAAUACUUAGUGGCGAACGGGUGAGUAUAAUGUGGGUAUCUGCCUUUUGGUGAGGAAUAACACGGGGAAACUUGUGCUAAUACCUCAUAAGCCUUCACAGGGAAAGUUUUAACGCCAAAAGAUGAGCCCGCACUUGAUUAGCUAGUUGGUAAGGUAAUGGCUUACCAAGGCUACGAUCAAUAGCUGAUCUGAGAGGAUGAUCAGCCACAUUGGGACUGAGACACGGCCCAAACUCCUACGGGAGGCAGCAGUAGGGAAUCUUGCACAAUGGGGGAAACCCUGAUGCAGCGAUGCCGCGUGAGUGAAGAAGGCCUUUGGGUUGUAAAGCUCUUUCGUCGGGGAAGAAAAUGACUGUACCCGAAUAAGAAGGUCCGGCUAACUUCGUGCCAGCAGCCGCGGUAAUACGAAGGGACCUAGCGUAGUUCGGAAUUACUGGGCUUAAAGAGCUCGUAGGUGGUUAGAGAAGUUGGUGGUGAAAUCCCAAGGCUUAACCUUGGAACUGCCAUCAAAACUUUUUGACUAGAGUGUGAUAGAGGAAAGUGGAAUUUCUAGUGUAGAGGUGAAAUUCGUAGAUAUUAGAAAGAACACCGAUUGCGAAGGCAGCUUUCUGGAUCAUUACUGACACUGAGGAGCGAAAGCAUGGGUAGC